AAAAAGUGUAUAUACAAAUGAUCGGAAUGUGAGUUCCAAUUGGUUCUUUUACCGAAAACAAUGGUCUGAUUUCUUGUCAUCAAGUGACAACCCAUGGCUUGUAUUGAAAUAUGAAGACAUUAAACAGAAUACCUUCGCGAGUUUGAUCAAACUCGCCGACUUCUUGGUUAUCCACGU